CUCACAUCGGCGCGUAAUCAAGCCUACACAUGCAGUCGAACGGUACCAGAGAGCUUGCUCUCUGGUGACGAGUGGCGUGACUGGGUGAUAAUGUCUGGGAAACUGCCGAUGGAGGGGGAUCUACUGGAAACUGGUCGUAAUACUGAUAACUGUCUUCUGUGACCAAAGUGGUGUGGACCUUCUGUGUGCCUCACACCAUCGUGAUGUGCCCAGAUGGGAUUAGCUAGUAGUGUGNGGUAAUGGUCACCUAUGGAGAUACCCUAGCUGGUCUGAGAGGAUGACCAGUCCACACUGGAACUGAGACACGGUCCAGACUCCUACGUGGAGGCAGCAGUGGGGAAUAUUUGCACAAUGGGCUGCAAUGCCUGAUAGCAUGCCAUGCCGCGUGUAUGAAGAAGGCCUUUCGGGGUUGUACACAGUACUUUCAGGCGGGUGAGGAAAGGCGAUAAAGCGUUACAUAACCCUUGUCGAUUGACCGUUACCCCGCAGAAGAAAGCACCUGGGCUAACUNCCGUGCCAAGCAAGCCGGCNGGUAAUACNGGAA
rnacentral:rRNA from 1 species